UCGAAGCAACUGUAGCAGACUUGCUGUGCUGAUGUUGAAUAAGAUGGUCCGCCUCUGCCGGGGAUACGGUCUGAUGUGGCUUCGAACACAUGAAUGCAUAUGUUUGAAUUUUUUUAUGGCGUAAUGCUCCAUAUGGGAUGGAAAUGCUACGCAGUUUGAGGAUGCAAUGAUUACUAUAUGCAAUGCAAUAUGAUAAGAACUCUGCGGGAGAACUGCACAGGACGACUGUGUUGAGGAAUCUUCAAGACAAAUCCACUGGGAG
rnacentral:lncRNA from 1 species